rnacentral:lncRNA from 1 species
CGGCCGUUGCUCCGUUCCGAGGCCGUCCCUCCUUCCUUAAUUCCCCUCUCAAUGGUCCACCGAAGAAGACGAAUUGAGGAGCCCUAGUUUCUUCCUCCGUGAAUGUCGUCGCUGCUGCAGUAGGGAGGCCGGCGAACAGCCGGGGUCUCGUUUGUCCCCUUGCGUCGAACUCUCUCUCUUGGUUCGAGUCGCGGUUCUCUUUGGUUCCGACGCCGUCGACGCUGCUGUCCCCGCGAGUCGCCGCCCACUCGACGUCUCUCGGCCCGACUGAACAGGGCAGUAACCCCGCCCCCUCUAAACGCUAAGUCAAUCUAUAUCUCUACUGUAAAGUCUCGUUUUUCAUAAUGGUUAUGCAACAAAUAUCACCAAGCACUGAACUUUCUAUUGAUUAUGUCAUGUGGUUUGAAGUUUGGGGUUCUCUCUUGUUUGUGUUCUAGAGUGCAGUGAAGUAUGCAUAUAAUGGUUCUCUUAUCAUCUGUGAAACUGAUCAAGUUAUGCGCCACAUUUUCUGUAUUCCUAAUGGAGUUGAAC